ensembl:snoRNA SNORA70 Small nucleolar RNA SNORA70
CUACAACCAGCUACUGGUUGAUCUUACAUUUGAUCUGGUGUGCAAUGGCUGCAAACAGCAGCCUCCUUGGUGGUGUUUGCAGCCUGUUGCUUUGUAUGAGUUGCCCUAAUGGACCUUGGAGACAGCC